CCUACGGGGGGCAGCAGUGGGGAAUAUUGCACAAUGGGGGAGACCCUGAUGCAGCGACGCCGCGUGAGUGAAGAAGUAUUUCGGUAUGUAAAGCUCUAUCAGCAGGGAAGAAAAUGACGGUACCUGACUAAGAAGCCCCGGCUAACUACGUGCCAGCAGCCGCGGUAAUACGUAGGGUGCGAGCGUUAAUCGGAAUUACUGGGCGUAAAGCGCUCGUAGGCGGUAUGUCAAGUCAAGGGUGAAAUCCCCGCGCUCAACGUGGGAACUGCCUUUGAAACUGGCAAACUGGAGUGUGUGAGAGGAUA
rnacentral:rRNA from 1 species